UUAAGUUCAGCGGGUAUCCCUACCUGAUCCGAGGUCAAGAGCAAAAAUUUGUAGGCUUUAUGGACGCCCGCGUUUCCGGUCGAGAGACGCAAAUUGUGCUGCGCUCCCAGGCCAGUACGCCGGCUGCCAAUCGCUUUCAGGCGAGUCCACGCACAAAAGGCGGGACAAACACCCAACACCAAGCAGAGCUUGAGGGUACA
rnacentral:misc_RNA from 1 species